GCCUAAGUAGCUCAGUUGGAUAGAGCGAUAGACUGAAAAUCUAUAUGUCGGCAGUUCGAACCUGCCCUUAGGCAC
rnacentral:tRNA from 15 species